CCUACGGGUGGCAGCAGUGGGGAAUAUUGCACAAUGGGGGAAACCCUGAUGCAGCGACGCCGCGUGAGUGAAGAAGGAUUUCGGUAUGUAAAGCUCUAUCAGCAGGGAAGAAAAUGACGGUACCUGAGUAAGAAGCCCCGGCUAACGACGAGCCAGCAGCCGCGGUAAUACGUAGGGGGCACGCGUUAUCCGGAUUUACUGGGUGGAAAGGGAGCGUAGACGGCAGGACACGUCUGGAGGGAAAUGCCGGGGCUUAACCCCGGAACUGCUUGGGAAACGGUGCAGCUAGAGUGCAGGAGAGGUAAGUGGAAUUCCUAGUGUAGCGGUGAAAUUCGUAGAUAUUAGGCGGAACACCAGUGGCGAAGGCGGCUUACUGGACUGUAACUGCCGUUGAGGCUCGAACGCGUGGGGAGCAAACAGGAUUAGAUACCCUGGUAGUC
rnacentral:rRNA from 1 species